UACAGAGGGUGCAAACGUUGUUCGGAAUUACUGGGCGUAAAGCGCGUGUAGGCGGCAGCGUGUGUCGGGCGUGAAAUCCCAGGGCUCAACCGUGGAAGUGCACUCGAAACUGCGCAGCUAGAGUCCUGGAGAGGAAGGUGGAAUGCUUGGUGUAGAGGUGAAAUUCGUAGAUAUCAAGCGGAACACCGGUGGCGAAGGCGGCCUUCUGGACAGUGACUGACGCUGAGACGCGAAAGCGUGGGGAGCAAACAGG
rnacentral:rRNA from 1 species